UUUUCCCAUCAGGCUGUGCGGUAGCUUCUAUAAAAGCGCCUCGCGCCCGCUUCUCUGCCUCAUUCCUCGGACGACUUACUGAUUAACAACUUAAAACACUCAAAAAUACAGACGGCUCUUCAAAGAUGAAGGAUCACGAUGCUCAUCCUGACUUCUCAAAAUCAGCAGAUGCUUGAUGGUGCCGUGAAAGCCCAGAGAUGUGACUGGUCUGUAGGGGACUGAGGAGGUGUCCUCAGGUCCGAGUCCUAUCGCUAACAGGUAAUGGAUGUAAAUUCUUGAUCAUGUGUUACCAUAAGAAACUGUUAAU